UAAUAGGAUGGUGUAAUGUACAAGGUCAAUG
rnacentral:piRNA from 1 species